rnacentral:rRNA from 1 species
CCCUUAGAUGUUCUGGGAUGCACGCGCGUUACACUGAUUCGUUCAACGAGUUUAUGACCUUGCCUGAUGAGGUGGGGGAAUCUUUUCAAAUCGCAUCGUGAUGGGGAUAGAGUAUUGUAACUGUUAGUCUUCAACGAGGAAUUCCUAGUAAGUACGUGUCAUCAGCUCGUACUGAUUAUGUCCCUGCCCUUUGUACACACCGCCCGUCGCUCCUACCGAUUGAGUGCUCAGGUGAAUAGUAUGGACUGCAUCAGUGUUCGGUCUCCGAAUGUUGACGCGAGAAAUUCUGUGAAUCUUAUUGCUUAGAGGAAGGAGAANUCGUAGCA